UUGGGCUGGAAUGAACUCUACUCUUUUUUUUGUUUACACAUAUUUUCUCCACCUUGCAGCUCCUUGAUGAUGAAAGGAAGACAUUUCUACCCCACCUUUAAACAAAACAUUUCAUCACAUUUAAUAACACAUUAUUAACGUCAACAAGUAAAAACAUAAUUUCGGCAGCGCAUUUUCUGUCUAUUCAGUAUGGAACAAAAGGACUGGUACAACAAGUUUGUGGGGAUGUGUUCAUAUUGCCAUUAAGUGAGUCACCACUUGUUUUCAUUGUGCAUGAAUGUAUGUACAAGUGUCAGACAUUGUUUGUCUACUCCUAUUAAAAGGAGACGUUCCCCUCGGUCUGACAUCAGUCUCAUCUAGGACCAAGCUGGUGACACAGACGUGAUCUCUUCUUCACCUGGUGAACGUGAACCUCGAAGCUAUGGAUAAGAGAGAAGUCCGCAAAACGAUCAGGGGGCUCUUUAAGAAGAAUGGCGAUGCUGAUGGAAAGAUAAAGAAGGAGGAUUUGAGGAAGCUGUUGGAAGAAGCAUUCGGAAGCCAUGAGAAGAAAGAUGAAAUCAUUGGCAAGAUCAUGGAUGCAGCCGACAGCGACGAGGUCACCUUGAGGCAGCUGAAGAAAUCCAUGGCUAAAAGCUGCGACCAAGGUUGUAAGGAUGAGGAAAUUGAAAAAGCCAUGCUGGACCUCUUUGAGGAGUACGAUGGAGACGAUAGCGGCGCGUUGGAGAAGGCGGAAUUCGAAAAGAUGAUCGAUGAACUACUUGAAAACCAUCCGAAAAAGGAUAAAAUCAAGAGGAGGGCCAUGAAGCGUCUCCAAAGGAGUGACAACAACAUCAGUAAAGAUGAGUUUGAGAAACUCAUGCCACUCAUAAAGAGACUCUACAAGAAAAAACUUGAGGAUCCAGAUUCUGCAGAGGAUGAAUAAACAGAAUUGUUACAGCAAAACCCUCAAGAAUGACCAUCAGAAUGAAUAACAGAAAAACCUGUUUAUUUGAGUUUGGAAAUUGUUUUUUUCAAAGAUGUGUCCAUUCAAUAUUGUCUGAGAAAAAAUAAAAGCAAUGCAAUUGACUCUGAUGUGGGCUCUUUGUCUUUUUACGCACACAACACAAAGCUGGGAAGAAAAAG
rnacentral:lncRNA from 1 species